AUAUUCUUUGGUCUUUGGUUCUACAAUUUGAGGUAACUAGAUUUGCUUUAGGGCUUUGGUAACUACAUACAAUAAUAAUAAAUAUAAAACAACUAAAUAAAUAUAAAUAUAGACAUUAAUUGAAUACACAGAUAAUACAUAUAAUCACAAAACUAAUUUUAUCUUUCUACCAGCUGGUCGAUAACAGCUACUGGUUUUGAUCUAGUGGGCAUUUGCUAGUCUACGACUUCCAUUUCCUUUCAAUACAUCACAAUUUACCAUCGGCUUGGUUCCAGUUAACCUAACUUUUGCAUUUUUUUCACAUUUGAAUGUUUCUAUCAUCUUGGGCAGAUUAAAUACAAAUUUGGUGACACGAGGCAAAGAUCCAAUAUUAAAUUUAUCUAGGCAGGAGGGUAGCUGCCAUGUGUAGUCUCUCUUGGAAGGGCGCUUCCGCUUUAAGCUGCAGCGCCAGAGGUACAGCUACCCCUGCAGCUGCCGCCAAAAGCACUGCCGCUGCUACAAUCCAUCUCUGCCGG